rnacentral:rRNA from 2 species
UUGAAUGACGUGCUCGCACUGAUUUCACAAUGAAGCGAGUGGCGAACUUGGUGAGUAACACGUGGGGAAUCUGCCCAGAAGCAGGGGAUAACACUUGGAAACAGGUGCUAAUACCGUAUAACAACAAAAUCCGCAUGGAUUUUGUUUGAAAGGUGGCUUCGGCUAUCACUUCUGGAUGAUCCCGCGGCGUAUUAGUUAGUUGGUGAGGUAAAGGCCCACCAAGACGAUGAUACGUAGCCGACCUGAGAGGGUAAUCGGCCACAUUGGGACUGAGACACGGCCCAAACUCCUACGGGAGGCAGCAGUAGGGAAUCUUCCACAAUGGACGAAAGUCUGAUGGAGCAAUGCCGCGUGAGUGAAGAAGGGUUUCGGCUCGUAAAACUCUGUUGUUAAAGAAGAACACCUUUGAGAGUAACUGUUCAAGGGUUGACGGUAUUUAACCAGAAAGCCACGGCUAACUACGUGCCAGCAGCCGCGGUAAUACGUAGGUGGCAAGCGUUGUCCGGAUUUAUUGGGCGUAAAGCGAGCGCAGGCGGUUUUUUAAGUCUGAUGUGAAAGCCUUCGGCUUAACCGGAGAAGUGCAUCGGAAACUGAGAGACUUGAGUGCAGAAGAGGACAGUGGAACUCCAUGUGUAGCGGUGGAAUGCGUAGAUAUAUGGAAGAACACCAGUGGCGAAAGCGGCUGUCUAGUCUGUAACUGACGCUGAGGCUCGAAAGCAUGGGUAGCGAACAGGAUUAGAUACCCUGGUAGUCCAUGCCGUAACGAUGAGUGCUAGUGUUGAGGGUUUCGCCCUCAGUGCUGCAGCUACGCAUAGCACUC